rfam:Bacteroides coprosuis DSM 18011 chromosome, whole genome shotgun sequence.
UAUAUUUGCCGCCAUGAUGGUGCUUUUCUAGCUAUUCUACUAGAGAAGUAAAAGAGAAUCCAGUGAAAAUCUGGAACAGUACCCGCUACUGUAAGUUCGUAAGAAUCUUUGUAAUCUUCAUUGCCACUGUUACCAUUAGAGUAAUGGGAAGGCUUACAAAGUGAACAAGUCAGGAAACCUGCCAUCAGCAUUCAACAUGC